rnacentral:lncRNA from 1 species
CUAGACUGUUUUCUGCCAAGUAUUUAUUUGUUGGAUAGUAUAGUAGAAUUAGUAAUUUGAUCACUCUACAACUUAUAUAUUGCAGGGUUUGCAGCUGAACAAAAUUCCAUGUCUGUUGAUGUAAUACGAAAAGCAUUUCAAGCAACAGAGGAGGGAUUCCUUUCUCUGGUUGUUAAGCAGUGGCCAACGACACCUCAGAUGGCUGCUGUCGGAUCUUGCUGUCUGGUUGGAGCGAUCUGCGAUGGGACCCUUUAUGUCGCGAACCUUGUCAACGAAACCUCAGAUGGCUGCUGUUGGAUCUUGCUGUCUGGUUGGGGUGAUUUGUGAUGGGACCCUUUAUGUCGCCAACCUUGGUGAUUCCCGGGCUGUUUUGGGGAGACUUGUCAAGGCCACAGGAGAAGUUCUAGCCCUCCAGCUUUCAGCUGAGCAUAAUGCAAGUUUUGAGUCUG